GGUGGAUGCCUUGGCUCUCAGAGGCGAUGAAGGACGUGAUAAGCUGCGAUAAGCUGCGGGAAGUUGCAAAUAAGCAUUAUAUCCGCAGAUUUCCGAAUGGGGCAACCCAGCUGGUUGAAGACCAGUUAUUCGAAAGAAGGCCAACCCGGUGAACUGAAACAUCUAAGUAGCCGGAGGAAAAUAAAACAAUAGUGAUUCUCCUAGUAGUGGCGAGCGAACGGGGAUUAGCCCAAACCAAAGUUGUUUCGGCAAUUUUGGGGUUGUAGGACUGUAAUAUGGACUCUGUAUUUUUAGUAGAACAGCGAUGGAAACGCUACCAUAGAGGGUGAUAGUCCCGUAAACGAAAAAAAUGCAGUACCUAACAGUAUCCUGAGUAGGGCGGGACACGUGAAAUCCUGUCUGAA
rnacentral:rRNA from 1 species